rnacentral:rRNA from 1 species
UACGGAGGGUGCGAGCGUUGUCCGGAAUCACUGGGCGUAAAGGGCGCGUAGGUGGCGGUCCAAGUCAACGGUGAAAGCUCGGGGCUCAACCCCGAGUCGGCCGUCGAUACUGGGUUGCUUGAGCACUGUAGAGGCAGAUGGAAUUCCGGGUGUAGCGGUGGAAUGCGUAGAGAUCCGGAAGAACACCGGUGGCGAAGGCGGUCUGCUGGGCCGUUGCUGACGCUGAGGCGCGACAGCGUGGGGAGCAAACAGG